rnacentral:rRNA from 1 species
GUCUACGGCCAUGCCACCCUGAACGUACCUGAUCUCACCUGAUCUCGGAAGCUAAGCAGCAUCGGGCCUGGUUAGUACUUGGAUGUGAGACCACCUAGGAAUACCAGGUGCUGUAGGCG